rnacentral:misc_RNA from 1 species
AACGGUCUAUACCUGCGGUACCUGCGGAAGGAUCAUUAGUGAACGCCCCCACGGGCUUAUAACUAUUCCAAACCUCUGUGAACCGUGCCCUUCGGGGCUAUUUUACAAACAUGGUGUAAUGAACGUCAUAUAUCAUAACAAAACAAAACUUUUAGCAACGGAUCUCU